rnacentral:rRNA from 1 species
AUUGAACGCUGGCGGCAGGCCUAACACAUGCAAGUCGAGCGGUAGCACAGAGAGCUUGCUCUCGGGUGACGAGCGGCGGACGGGUGAGUAAUGUCUGGGAAACUGCCUGAUGGAGGGGGAUAACUACUGGAAACGGUAGCUAAUACCGCAUAAUGUCGCAAGACCAAAGUGGGGGACCUUCGGGCCUCAUGCCAUCAGAUGUGCCCAGAUGGGAUUAGCUAGUAGGUGGGGUAACGGCUCACCUAGGCGACGAUCCCUAGCUGGUCUGAGAGGAUGACCAGCCACACUGGAACUGAGACACGGUCCAGACUCCUACGGGAGGCAGCAGUGGGGAAUAUUGCACAAUGGGCGCAAGCCUGAUGCAGCCAUGCCGCGUGUGUGAAGAAGGCCUUCGGGUUGUAAAGCACUUUCAGCGGGGAGGAAGGCGUUAAGGUUAAUAACCUUGGCGAUUGACGUUACCCGCAGAAGAAGCACCGGCUAACUCCGUGCCAGCAGCCGCGGUAAUACGGAGGGUGCAAGCGUUAAUCGGAAUUACUGGGCGUAAAGCGCACGCAGGCGGUCUGUCAAGUCGGAUGUGAAAUCCCCGGGCUCAACCUGGGAACUGCAUUCGAAACUGGCAGGCUAGAGUCUUGUAGAGGGGGGUAGAAUUCCAGGUGUAGCGGUGAAAUGCGUAGAGAUCUGAAGGAAUACCGGUGGCGAAGGCGGCCCCCUGGACAAAGACUGACGCUCAGGUGCGAAAGCGUGGGGAGCAAACAGGAUUAGAUACCCUGGUAGUCCACGCCGUAAACGAUGUCGAUUUGGAGGUUGUGCCCUUGAGGCGUGGCUUCCGGAGCUAACGCGUUAAAUCGACCGCCUGGGGAGUACGGCCGCAAGGUUAAAACUCAAAUGAAUUGACGGGGGCCCGCACAAGCGGUGGAGCAUGUGGUUUAAUUCGAUGCAACGCGAAGAACCUUACCUGGUCUUGACAUCCACAGAACUUUCCAGAGAUGGAUUGGUGCCUUCGGGAACUGUGAGACAGGUGCUGCAUGGCUGUCGUCAGCUCGUGUUGUAAAAUGUUGGGUUAAGUCCCGCAACGAGCGCAACCCUUAUCCUUUGUUGCCAGCGGUUCGGCCGGGAACUCAAAGGAGACUGCCAGUGAUAAACUGGAGGAAGGUGGGGAUGACGUCAAGUCAUCAUGGCCCUUACGACCAGGGCUACACACGUGCUACAAUGGCAUAUACAAAGAGAAGCGACCUCGCGAGAGCAAGCGGACCUCAUAAAGUAUGUCGUAGUCCGGAUUGGAGUCUGCAACUCGACUCCAUGAAGUCGGAAUCGCUAGUAAUCGUAGAUCAGAAUGCUACGGUGAAUACGUUCCCGGGCCUUGUACACACCGCCCGUCACACCAUGGGAGUGGGUUGCAAAAGAAGUAGGUAGCUUAACCUUCGGGAGGGCGCUUACCACUUUGUGAUUCAUGACUGGGGUGA